rnacentral:tRNA from 1 species
GGGUCUGUAGCUCAACUUGGUUAGAGCGCACCCCUGAUAAGGGUGAGGUCGGUGGUUCGAGUCCACCCAGACCCACCA